AUGGUACGUGGCGGGACCCACUAAAAUAUUUGGCCAAAGUAAGAUGAUUUUUCUGACACCUAAUUGGGGCUGAUGGUGAGCAGUAGGUGGAUGUUGUGCCUUUAAAUAAGGUGUUUUGGGUCCGUGUGAGCUACGGAGAAAAAUUAGAGAAAUAUAUAGAGGCAAAGAGAGCCAAAAGUUUGAAGCUUGGAUGAAUAAUUAUCUUUCAGUAUAGAAUUUUUUUUAUAUCUUGAAUAGUUUGGGGGUAAUUGUGCUUUAAAUAUUUUGUUUAUUGUUAUUUUACUCAAAUUACAUAUAUGUAUUGCCUAAUUUUUAUGAAAUUUUCUUAAAAUUCUUGUUAUAGUUUUUCCUAUUAGGACUUUUCGUCUCAUCAUCUUUCAGUUUCAGGUGAACGUGGAUUGUUAGUUUCGGCUUAGGUGGAAGAGUUGGCAGUUGCGAAUUUAUUUUAAUUAUUUGGAGAAUUUUGUAUAUAAAUUUGAGAACUAAUUUUUGUAUAAAUAAGGGUAUUUUUUUUUUUAUAUCAUCCUGGAAGUAUGUUGAUGUAUUUGUAAUUUGAAAGAAUUGAGGAAUUUUAUUAGAAUUUUGGGGUGGUUACAGAAGUGAUUGAGGAUGCUAUAAAGCUUAUGUAAUCGCCUGAUCUGAGGUCUGGUUGGGGGAUUCAUGUAGUUCAGGAGAUCAAGCUUUUGGCCAAGAAAGAAGAUCAAGAGGCGUUGGAUUCAGCUAUCGACGAGCUUGUUCAGCUGGGUAUGCAAAGAGAAAUUGAGGACGGUGAAGUGACCGGAGAUGAUGGAGCACGGUGGUGCUGUUUCUAGUGGCUGUUGGAGACGGUGAAGGACGGCGAGCUCGGGACGCCGUUAGUGAUGGUGCAACAAUUUGUUCUGGUGCAGAGAGUGUGAAUUUGUGCUUACCGCGAGCAAGGAUGAACAGCGAGCAGCAAGGACGAACGGUCGGCGGUGUGAUGAGGAAUGCAAAUGCUGGACAGCAAAGGUACAAUAUGAGAGAGCUUAAGAAAGCAAUUGCAACGGCAACAGGGAAGAAGAAGGAUUGUGUGUGUUUCAUUGAAGUGAAAAUUGAUAAAGGAUGAUACAAGCAAAGAGCUGCUUGCAUGGGACCUAGAAUUUCUGCGGCCAAUAUGGUUCUUAGCAUUCAGUACCAUCCCACUCUCCUAUUAAGAGAACAUUUAAACAAAAACCUUUAAUAUUCUUUAUUAUCAGUUAUUAUGUUUUCCAACUAUGUGAAUAGGCAUCUAAUUUGUAAAGUAUUACAUAGUGCUCUUAGUUGAAUGAAAUUAAGAAUUGGAACUACACUGCGCUGGUGGAUGCUAUGCACAAUGGUGAAUGCAAAUGCUGGACAACAAAGGUUAGAGAGAGAGAGAGUUAAACAGCAUUUACCUUCCUUAUUAUGCAUAGCAUCCAUCGGUGUGUAGUUCCAAUUAUUAAUUUUAUUGUAAUAAAUGGAUUUAUUUUUUCAACUUUAUGAUAGGUUUUUCAUAAA